AGUUUGGUCAUUGUAUACAGCUGUAAGUUCUUAACGUUUGUAUAAUAAAGAAGUAAAGAAGUUAAAGAUAUACUGGAUAUCCUCUUUUGUUCUCCCUGUCAAGUUCUAUUGGCUAGCACAUCAAUGCUUUAUUUGUUUUACCUACUGCUAUAUUUUCUCACUUCUUCAUUAUACAAACUAUUUGCCUUUUACCCUUACUCCGUCUCCACACUUUUAAUAAUUAAAUAUUACAUUAAAUAUACCCACAUUAUGCGUUAAGACAGCCCCAUACGUUGAGCCUUCUGCCGUAAACCGUUUGUGUCUGAGCAUGCGCAAUGUGCGGGACUACUAUCGGGUAGAGGACUACCAUCGUGUAGCAAAACACAUUUUCAGGCGUGCAUGAAUCUGGCGGAUAUGUUUUUCUUAAGUUGGUUUUCCGAAUUCCGUAAGAAACAUUUCAGAAGAAACUUCAGAAAAUGUUCGAGAAUGAGGCCCAUUGUUUACAUUUGACUAUAAGUCUACUUGCUAAUAUGUGGAUCACUUCAAACGUUUUGUAGAUUAAAAUAUGACAAACAAGGGUAAUUAGAUUGAAACUGUAAUUAGCACUUAGACCAAAACACAUACAAAGUGUCAACAGUUGGACCUCAUCAUCUCCCUUGUAAUGGCUGAAAGUGUAGUAUGUUGUCCAGUGUGUUUUCAACUUGACUGGCUUACUGUGGGAUGGAGGAACUGAUGUUAGGACCUCGGUCACAUUUGUGGUAACAGGGACAGUUGUUGUAUUAUCUGACGUGGGCGUUGCUGUCUCAUUGCUUGGGAGAAAAGCAUUUGAGGAAGCUGUUGAACCUGCAAAGAUGGAACAUAGGUGCACAGUUAAAAAGCACAAGGGACAUUUUCAGAAUGUCUGUGUCCGUUAGCAGUUCAUUGAGAAAAGGGAAAGCCUGCGAAGGCAAAAACAAACACUUGUGAUCACCGUGAUGCAUAGCUGAUCAGAUCAGUACUUUAAUACUCCAGUACUUUAAUGUUAAAUGCCCAGUGUUAUUUUUCUUCAGUUCCAGAACCAGAGCCAAAGCCAACAGUGCUGAUGCUGUUGUGUGGUAUAAUUACAUGCUUAUGAGUGAUUAUAGAAGGACAGACCACACGCAGGCAACCCUGAUGCCACAGUUUACUCAGUUCUAAUAAAUUGCAUUACCACAUAGUUAAUUAUGUGAUUGUCACUAACACUUUUCAUGAAAAAAAUUGAAUGGUUAUGCCAAUAUGUAGGCCCAUGGUUUACAUUUGACUAUAAGUCUACUCGCUAAUAUGUGGAUCACUUCAAACUUUUGGGACAGUCAAAUUUGACAAACGAGGUUAAUGAGAGUGAAACUGAAAUCAGCACUUUAGCACAAAAACAAGAACAAAGUGUCAACAGUUUGACCUCAUCAUCUCCCUUGUGUGUGGGGAACAAUAUGAGCUACCUCCACGUGGUGUUCCCCGGAUAACGUCUCUGACGGCUAACUGCUCAUAAACCAGUCCCUUUCGACAUCUCUUACUGCAAUGACUAAGCAACCCAGCCAUAGAAUCCUUCAAGAGUCUACAGGCCCCUGUAUCCUACAGCUCAACGUUGAAGGACUUACACGUUCCAAAUGUGAAGUGAUUGAACGACUUGCUACAAAGCACUCAGCCCAAGUCCUCCUCCUACAAGAAACCCAUACCA
ensembl:lncRNA